CUGAAACUCGCCUCUUUGAAGUCGGAAUCGCUAGUAAUCGCAGAUCAGCAUGUUGCGGUGAAUACGUUUCCUGGUCUUGUACACACCGCCCGUCAAACCAUGAGAGUCGCCAACACCCGAAGUCCGCUUUGCGGCCUAAGGUGGGGAGAUGAUUGGGGUUAAGUCGUAACAAGGUAUC
rnacentral:rRNA from 1 species